CAAACCGAGAGCUGAGGUUACUUAGGGGAACCUCCACAAAAGUAAGAUCGCCUUUGCCGAGCUUCUUUUCAACUUAAAGAAGGGCGGCUACGACGUGGCUUUAGCUCAGAAACCAUGGAUUGCAUCGAGUAACGUGGUCGCUGGGCUAAAAAAGGAGGCAAGUGGUAUCUAAUCGAAGUUAGAAACCUACCUAUAUAGGACCCACCUGCAGAAAAUACCUAGACAUAAGGCUAUAUAUUAUUAGAGAUGCAAUGGUAAAGAACUGGAGGGUGCCAAGUACACCAUCAUUCUCAGAUUAUAGGUACAUCUAGUGCUCUAUUAUAUCUGAAGCAAAGAUCAGACACAAAGUUAGGACAAAUCUCAGAAACACAAACUGGGAUCUCUACAGGCAGAUAUUAUAAGCAAAUGACCUAGCGUCUAUAACUCAUAAUGAAAAGCUUGAAAAAGGCGUGAAUGUAUUCACGAGUGCUUUUAAUACAGAUUACACUGUUACUCAAGCACAAAACUAAGUCCCCUUGGUAUAACAAGGGGAUCGGGUCUUGCAGACACAGAGUAAGGGAAAUUUUCAGCUGUGCCAAGCUAGCAGAAAGCGAGGACUGUUUGAACGAGUAUAAAGAUCUUCUAAAAUGUUAAGCAGAACAAAACGACAAUCCUGGAAGAACUUUUGUAGCAGCUUUGAAAAGACCAACGGAGUGGCGAAGCUCAAGAAACUAUUAUCAAAAAGCUCCGCCUCGCCCGGUAUUAUUCGCAAGAAUUGCGGAGAGUGGUAGAAACAGCCCAACUUACUCCAAGGAGCUUAGGCUGCUGAAAACUUUAGAGAAAAUAUUGGACGUGCACGUCAGGGUCUUAGCGCCUCCUAGAAGCUUGUCCAAAGUGCAACGCGCAUACACAAAAGACAGAUCAGUAAAGACUGCACUUAGACGGCAAAGCCUUUAAGAUAGUGGCAUAUGCAGACGACAUUGCCAUCUUAAUAACGAGAAGGUGUCUACACACCAUUAGCAAUAUUACGACCAUCCGGAGAAAACGGAUCUCCUUGUGUUCACAAGAAAAUACAAAAUCCCUCCAUGGAGACUUCCUUCGAGAUAUUUGACUCAAGGCACCUGCUCGGCACAACCUGGGUGACUUUCUCCUUCUCUCAUGCACUGGUGCUGCAUAGCUAUUGUAAGGCCAAUUCUGUUCUAAGGUGCAUUUGUAUGGGGGACAGGCAGAGUAAUAAUACAAAUAAAAAGAAAUCUUGCUCAAAUUUCAGCUAUAAGUGGUACAAUUAUUUCAUUAUCGAGUUUUUAAAUCUUGUGCGUUGGGAACUAUCCUACAAGACGGAGGUAACCAACUCACUACUCCACAUGUAAAAUUUCAAAUCUUACACCACUACAUAUUCAAAACAAACUUUUUGAUUUUAAAUGGAAAAUACUGUUGUAAGAGAAGCAACAUUCAUUAUGCAUAAUUUUGGAAUAUGUAAAAAACAGACACACAUAUACAUUGACAUACCAUUUUCCGUCAACAAUGGCCAGUAUUUCUUGGAUAAAUUUUUUUACGUAAGCAAUUUUUUUGAUAUGCUUGUUAAAUUUUAUGUUAUUUUAUAUAGAUUCAAAAGACGUUUAUAAAGAAGGACGGAGGAAAACUUACAAUGCGCUGCCCGGACUGGAAAUGUAGUGACAUCAAUUAUUUACAUUGUCUUGCCUCCUCUAGGUUGUUCGAAAUAUUUUCCACAUCAAUAAACGUAUGUCCACAGUCGCGCAGAGUUUGGGUGAACGUGCUACACUGUGUUUUUAGAUGACACUCAACCUUUCCAUUUUGCUGGUGUGUCGUCAAAUAACGUAACAUUGGGUACGCGGCCUCUAAAGGAAAUAUCUCCA